rnacentral:rRNA from 1 species
CACGUAGGGGGCAAGCGUUGUCCGGAUUUAUUGGGCGUAAAGAGCUCGUAGGCGGCUUAGUAAGUCGGGUGUGAAACCUCCAGGCUCAACCUGGAGACGCCACCCGAUACUGCUGUGGCUAGAGUCCGGUAGGGGAGCGUGGAAUUCCUGGUGUAGCGGUGAAAUGCGCAGAUAUCAGGAGGAACACCAGCGGCGAAGGCGGCGUCCUGGACUGGUACUGACGCUCAGGAGCGAAAGCGUGGGGAGCGAUCCGG